rnacentral:rRNA from 1 species
UAAUACAUGCAAGUAGAACGCUGAAGGAGGAGCUUGCUUCUCUGGAUGAGUUGCGAACGGGUGAGUAACGCGUAGGUAACCUGCCUGGUAGCGGGGGAUAACUAUUGGAAACGAUAGCUAAUACCGCAUAACAGUAGAUGUUGCAUGACAUUUGCUUAAAAGGUGCAACUGCAUCACUACCAGAUGGACCUGCGUUGUAUUAGCUAGUUGGUGGGGUAACGGCUCACCAAGGCGACGAUACAUAGCCGACCUGAGAGGGUGAUCGGCCACACUGGGACUGAGACACGGCCCAGACUCCUACGGGAGGCAGCAGUAGGGAAUCUUCGGCAAUGGACGGAAGUCUGACCGAGCAACGCCGCGUGAGUGAAGAAGGUUUUCGGAUCGUAAAGCUCUGUUGUAAGAGAAGAACGAGUGUGAGAGUGGAAAGUUCACACUGUGACGGUAUCUUACCAGAAAGGGACGGCUAACUACGUGCCAGCAGCCGCGGUAAUACGUAGGUCCCGAGCGUUGUCCGGAUUUAUUGGGCGUAAAGCGAGCGCAGGCGGUUAGAUAAGUCUGAAGUUAAAGGCUGUGGCUUAACCAUAGUACGCUUUGGAAACUGUUUAACUUGAGUGCAAGAGGGGAGAGUGGAAUUCCAUGUGUAGCGGUGAAAUGCGCAGAGAUAUGGAGGUACACCAGUGGCGAAGGCGACUUUCUGGUCUG